UUUGCGCCCCGGAUUGUAGCGGAAAUCCUUUGCCUUGGCAAAGAUUGGAGCGGAAAGCCGGAAAUGUG
rnacentral:sRNA from 1 species